AGUCAGCAUUUCUUGCAGUUCAGUAUCAUGGCCUCUCUACUGCAGCAAGAUACACACAACUCACCUGCUAGAUGAGUGUUCUUUGCCUGCUGUGCAAGGAGAGACUGCAUGGUGCUGUAGGUAAGGCACAGGCCUAACAGAUGCUGAUUUGCAGGAAUCUUAUAUGUGUGCAAGGUGAUGGCUUCAUGACACCAAAACUUCCUCAGCAAUCAUGGCUCAGGAUUUUCCCAAUUUGCAUGUGUCAGGUCUGCACCUGGGUAGCUGGCUUCUCUGACAGUGCUCCUCAUGAAAAGGUGCAGGUAUGGUUUGGGAGAAGCUGAAGGUGGUGGUGUAGAAUUCAGUGGCCUAACACUGGACCACAGCCAAAGGACAAAGUGAUGAAACAUAAUAUUCAUCAAGGAACUGAAACGUGUGAUAGGGCAGAAGUUCUGAAAGACAGCAAUUGCUUCUGUAUUUCUCUGGAGACUAAAGAUUCUUUGACAGCCUUUGCUAAAGGAAACAAGAAGAUAGGGACAAACAAUGAGGAAAAUCAUUUACAUGCAUACUGAAGAGACUGGUGAAAUGAUUCAAAGACAGCUUAUCUUUGAUGAUAAAUAACUAAAGGAAAAUAAUUUUAUGAAGAAAGAUAAAGAAGCAUGGUGGAUUGCCAGGAAUGAAGUUAAGAGUAUGUAACAAGAUGGAGUCCAAGGCAGAGCAAACCCAAGACAUUAAUUGGCUUCCCAAAGGCAAAAGGGCACAGCAUCUACUUGGGGAAGAUACUGAAACAGUGCCAGCAUGCAUAAUGUGAACAAGACUGCUAAAAUAAAUAGGAUCAGAUUGAAAGGAAUUUCCUUGAUGUUCUCUGAUGUUUUCCAGAAGAGAAAAAGAAUGUCGCACCUUUUGAAUGUUCCUUGGCUGCAGGUGGAGAUUUUAUUUCAGCGUAUAGGCCUGAAUUUGGGCAUGUUACUUCAUGGGCACAUGAGGAAUGGAUAUUGAAAAGGAAACAUUGAAACACGUCUAACUUGAAUCGAGGUGAGCACCAGUGGCACAAGUCUGACUAUCAAGUAUACGGUAGAGACUGCAUAUUCUUCAACACAGUAUCUUUAAGACCUCUCUGCUGUCAACAAUGAGCAUGUGAAGACAUGCUUAUGCGUGCUGGUUUAUCUGUAUUUCUGCUGCAUAUAUGAACUCACAUUCAUUCUUUUUAAAAACAUAAGACAUUUCAAGCUUUUUUUUUUUUUUUUUUUUUUUUGUAUGGCUUGCAACAUGAAGACAUCUGUAUUAUAUUUAGUUUGCUUUCCAAGAAUCUGUAUUAUUUCCAAAGAAGAACUGACAAUGAUACUUUGAUCCGUGAUCCUUAAUAUUGGAUAUUUAAUAAAGUGCUUCUGCCUCCUGUGGUAGUGCAAG